UCCUGAAAAAGGCAAACUUAGAGAAAUCUAAGGACGCAAAAUUAUGGGCCUAAGGCGAUUAAUCGCUAUGGUUGCCAAAUUGCCAGG
rnacentral:ncRNA from 1 species